CUCAUUAGUUAUAUGUGAUUUCUGGGCAGGGCUCAAGCUUAACAGCUAAAUCGUAUAGAGGAAUUUGUAAUGAACAAACUCCAGUUGUAGUCACACUGAAGACAAGGAUGAAUUCGCAGCUCGAAGAGAACACAUCGCGAUUAAGUUUUUGAAUUGGGAGCCUUUUUUUUACUUUAAGCUAAAAUAAUAGUUUGUUUGACUAUGUUGGACACCAUGUUGUUGCUGCGUAACCGACAUUAUCUGAGUACUCAACUAAAUCGUCCUCUCUCGGUUUAUAAAAACUUCAUUAUCGUCGACGAAUCGAACCACUCACUUUCGGUACUAGUAAGUUCGAAAAUAUUGAUGAGCUGCGUAUCAAACAGGACUCAAAUAAGGCGAUGUACCGAAACUGUAUGAAUUUAGCUUUCCUCAGAGAGUUCAAAAUAAAAAAACCCAAUUUACAAAUUUUGAUUUAUGCCACGGACACC
rnacentral:misc_RNA from 1 species